GUGUGUGUGGGCACAAUGGAGACCCUUCAAGAUCUGAUCGAACAAGUUAAACUUCGAGCGGUUUGGUGGGGUUUGUGUAUAUUUGCUGUUUGUUACUUUUUAACUCGUAAGUUGAGUUCUACCCCCUUCACAUGAUGUUUUUGUGGCUACUUUAUUACAGUUUUCAGCCCCCUCUAGCUCCAUCCCUGCAUGUUGUGAGCACAAUAAAUGGAUCAAUGACAGUAAAAGACUCCUUCUUUGUGGAGUUUCUUCAGUACUGUUUUUGGAAGGAAGAUUAAUACAUUGGUUACUAAGUUUGUUGGACCUUUACACUGGGCUCUCUUUGACAGUUAUAAUUUGAUGACGUUACUAUUAGAAUGCUUAGAAGGGGGAGACGUGGAGUAACUGGUAAAGUAGCUGACAUGUGAGCAGGAGGUUACACAUUCAAGCUAUGGAUACAGUGCAUGGGGCUGUGCUUUUUAAAUUUUAUUAGAAUGCUUAAACAUGCGCUCAAUUUGUUGGUCUUGUUUAUUUAUUGCUAGCAGAGAAACUUCAACUGCUGUUGUGAAACUUUUAAUCAAUUUUGAGCGAGGUUGGAUUUAAAAGAAAAACUCUCAAAUUAUUAUUUCUU
rnacentral:lncRNA from 1 species